rnacentral:rRNA from 1 species
UACGAAGGGGGCUAGCGUUGCUCGGAAUUACUGGGCGUAAAGCGUGCGCAGGCGGUUUUGUAAGCCAGAUGUGAAAGCCCCGGGCUCAACCUGGGAAUGGCAUUUGGGACUGCAAGGCUGGAGUUUGGCAGAGGAGACUGGAAUUCCUGGUGUAGCAGUGAAAUGCGUAGAUAUCAGGAGGAAUACCGAUGGCGAAGGCAGGUCUCUGGGCUAUAACUGACGCUCAUGCACGAAAGCGUGGGGAGCAAACAGG